UGGGCGCGCACAGCCCGCCACGAGGAGCGGCACGGACACGUCGCCGCGCGGCGCCCCACGCGUGUACCCGCGCGCGCCUCCCCGGCCCCGUUCAUAAAACCGAGGCCGUCGACUCCACCGCUCGGCACCUCUCUAUCGCAUCGCCAGUGCAGCACGCAGUCCAUAGCAAGCAAGAGAAGAGAGAAGACCGGCUGUGAGGGAGAGAUGGGCAGCAGGCUUGACGCGCGCACGCUCAAGGACGAGGUGGCGAGCAUGGACCGGCGCCCGCUCCUCGACCUCGGCCACCCGCUGCUCAACCGCGUCGCCGACAGCUUCAUCCGCGCCGCCGGAGUACGAGCGGCGAGGGCUGUGUCGCGGGAGGCAUACUUCGUCGCCGUCGAAGGGAUGGGAGGAGACUCGACGGGGCUGGACAGCACCGCCAAGAGGAGCCAUUUCUCGAGCGCCAGAGGGGAUGACGGCCAGAAGUCGCUCGAUGCAGUGGUUAAAUCGGCAAGCAAGGAGGCCAUCCAGUGGGGAUUGGCAGCCGGAGUCUACUCUGGGAUAACGUACGGCCUGAGAGAGGCCAGAGGACACCAUGACUGGAAGAACAGCGCGAUAGCAGGGGCGAUCGCCGGAGCGGCAGUCGCCCUGACCGGGGACAACGGGCACUCCGACCACGUCGUUCAUUUCGCCAUCACCGGAGCCGCACUGUCGAGCGCGGCGACCAUGCUCUCCGGCAUAUUCUAA
rnacentral:rRNA from 1 species